UACGUAGGGUGCAAGCGUUGUCCGGAAUUAUUGGGCGUAAAGGGCGCGUAGGCGGCCAUUCACGUGACGUGUGAAAGCCCUCGGCUUAACCGAGGAACUGCCUGUCAGACUGGAUGGCUUGAGACCGGGAGAGGUGAGUGGAAUUCCCAGUGUAGCGGUGAAAUGCGUAGAUAUUGGGAGGAACACCAGUGGCGAAGGCGGCUCACUGGACCGGAACUGACGCUGAGGCGCGAAAGCAUGGGGAGCGAACAGG
rnacentral:rRNA from 1 species